rnacentral:rRNA from 1 species
UGGGGAAUAUUGCACAAUGGGCGGAAGCCUGAUGCAGCGACGCCGCGUGAGGGAUGACGGCCUUCGGGUUGUAAACCUCUUUCAGCAGGGACGAAGCGUAAGUGACGGUACCUGCAGAAGAAGCGCCGGCCAACUACGUGCCAGCAGCCGCGGUAAGACGUAGGGCGCGAGCGUUGUCCGGAUUUAUUGGGCGUAAAGAGCUCGUAGGCGGCUUGUCGCGUCGACUGUGAAAACCCGCGGCUCAACCGCGGGCCUGCAGCCGAUACGGGCAGGCUAGAGUUCGGUAGGGGAGACUGGAAUUCCUGGUGUAGCGGUGAAAUGCGCAGAUAUCAGGAGGAACACCGGUGGCGAAGGCGGGUCUCUGGGCCGAUACUGACGCUGAGGAGCGAAAGCGUGGGGAGCGAACA